AUUAGAGUUUGAUCCUGGCUCAGGACGAACGCUGGCGGCGUGCCUAAUACAUGCAAGUCGAGCGAAUCGAUGGGAGCUUGCUCCCUGAGAUUAGCGGCGGACGGGUGAGUAACACGUGGGCAACCUGCCUAUAAGACUGGGAUAACUUCGGGAAACCGGAGCUAAUACCGGAUACGUUCUUUUCUCGCAUGAGAGAAGAUGGAAAGGCGGUUUACGCUGUCACUUAUAGAUGGGCCCGCGGCGCAUUAGCUAGUUGGUGAGGUAAUGGCUCACCAAGGCGACGAUGCGUAGCCGACCUGAGAGGGUGAUCGGCCACACUGGGACUGAGACACGGCCAGACUCCUACGGGAGGCAGCAGUAGGGAAUCUUCCGCAAUGGACGAAAGUCUGACGGAGCAACGCCGCGUGAACGAAGAAGGCCUUCGGGUCGUAAAGUUCAGUUGUUAGGGAAGAACAAGUACCAGAGUAACUGCUGGUACCUUGACGGUACCUAACCAGAAAGCCACGGCUAACUACGUGCCAGCAGCCGCGGUAAUACGUAGGUGGCAAGCGUUGUCCGGAAUUAUUGGGCGUAAAGCGCGCGCAGGUGGUUUCUUAAGUCUGAUGUGAAAGCCCACGGCUCAACCGUGGAGGGUCAUUGGAAACUGGGAGACUUGAGUGCAGAAGAGGAAAGUGGAAUUCCAUGUGUAGCGGUGAAAUGCGUAGAGAUAUGGAGGAACACCAGUGGCGAAGGCGACUUUCUGGUCUGUAACUGACACUGAGGCGCGAAAGCGUGGGGAGCAAACAGGAUUAGAUACCCUGGUAGUCCACGCCGUAAACGAUGAGUGCUAAGUGUUAGAGGGUUUCCGCCCUUUAGUGCUGAAGUUAACGCAUUAAGCACUCCGCCUGGGGAGUACGGCCGCAAGGCUGAAACUCAAAGGAAUUGACGGGGGCCCGCACAAGCGGUGGAGCAUGUGGUUUAAUUCGAAGUAACGCGAAGAACCUUACCAGGUCUUGACAUCCUCUGAAAACCCUAGAGAUAGGGCUUCUCCUUCGGGAGCAGAGUGACAGGUGGUGCAUGGUUGUCGUCAGCUCGUGUCGUGAGAUGUUGGGUUAAGUCCCGCAACGAGCGCAACCCUUGAUCUUAGUUGCCCGCAUUCAGUUGGGCACUCUAAGGUGACUGCCGGUGACAAACCGGAGGAAGGUGGGGAUGACGUCAAAUCAUCAUGCCCCUUAUGACCUGGGCUACACACGUGCUACAAUGGACGAUACAAAGGGCUGCAGACCCGCGAGGGGGAGCCAAUCCCAUAAAAUCGUCCCCAGUUCGGAUUGCAGGCUGCAACUCGCCUGCGUGAAGCCGGAAUCGCUAGUAAUCGUGGAUCAGCAUGCCACGGUGAAUACGUUCCCGGGUCUUGUACACACCGCCCGUCACACCACGAGAGUUUGUAACACCCGAAGUCGGUGGGGUAACCCUUACGGGAGCCAGCCGCCGAAGGUGGGACAGAUGAUUGGGGUGAAGUCGUAACAAGGUAACCAAUCUCU
rnacentral:rRNA from 1 species